AUCCCCAGCCCAGUCAUCCUCCUGGAUGGCACCCGACCCUCCCUUACUACUGCCUGGUCCCCUAGGUGUCUGUGAGACUGCAGACCAAUUCCACAUCCUGAAUGAGAUGCCGAAGUGAAAUGAGGCCAUCUAGUAGAGAAGCUAUGGACUCCCCUCAGAGAGUUCUGAGCAUCCUGAAUACAAUCUUGGAGUCUCUCCUGUCUCUCCCCAGAAGCACCCCUUCAUAUGGCUCUGUUGUCCUGAGACUUUUCAGUAAACAUCAGACUUGG